UUUAAGCAGUUUCGUUAUGUAGUGCCAAAGUAUAGAAAAAUGUUUGGAAAUAUUUUUGAGCGAAUUUUCAUAAGCUAUUUAUUAUACUGUUAUGCAUUUGCACAGAACACGGACAUCCACGUAUACAGAACGGAUUAUGACGAGUUCAUAAUAUUCAACAAAGCCACGGAAACCUGGAAGGAUGCACGCGAUAUAUGCCGUGAGCACACAGCAAAUUUGGUCUCACUUGAGUCACAGAAAAAGCUCAUAGCUUUGCAUAUGUUUUUAUUUG